GAUGAACGCUAGCGGCAGGCUUAAUACAUGCAAAUCGAGGGGCAGCACGAAUAGCAAUAUUUGGUGGCGACCGGCAAACGGGUGCGGAACACGUACGCAACCUUCCUUUAAGUGGAGAAUAGCCCGGGGAAACCCGGACUUAAUACUCCGUAACAUUAUAAAGUGGCAUCACUUAGUAAUUAUAGAUUUAUCGCUUAAAGAAUGGGCGUGCGCCUGAUUAGGUAGUUGGCGGAGUAANAGCCCACCAAGCCUGCGAUCAGUAACUGGUGUGAGAGCACGACCAGUCACACGGGCACUGAGACACGGGCCCGACUCCUACGGGAGGCAGCAGUAAGG
rnacentral:rRNA from 1 species